GCUCCAAUAGCGUAUAUUAAAGUUGUUGCAGUUAAAAAGCUCGUAGUUGGAUUUCUGGCAGGAGUGACCGGCCAUGCACUCUGUGCGUGAGCUGUGUCAUUCUGGCCAUCCUUGGUGAGAUCCUGUUUGGCAUUAAGUUGUCGGCAGGGGAUAACCAUCGUUUACUGUGAAAAAUUAGAGUGUUUAAGCAGCUUAUGCCG
rnacentral:rRNA from 1 species